UACGUACGAGGCGAGCGUUAUCCGGAAUUACUGGGCGUAAAGCGCGCGCAGGUGGCGCCGUAAGUUGGGCGUGAAAUCUCCCGGCCUAACUGGGAGGGGUCGCCCAAGACUGCGGGGCUUGAGGCUGGCAGAGGUCGGUGGAAUUCCUGGUGUAGUGGUGAAAUGCGUAGAGAUCAGGAGGAACACCGGUGGCGAAGGCGGCCGACUGGGCCAGCACUGACGCUGAGGCGCGAAAGCUCGGGGAGCGAACGGG
rnacentral:rRNA from 1 species